rnacentral:rRNA from 1 species
GUAGGGAGCGAGCGUUGUCCGGAAUUACUGGGCGUAAAGCGCAUGUAGGCGGACAUUUAAGUCAGGGGUGAAAUCCCGGGGCUCAACCUCGGAACUGCCUUUGAUACUGGGUGUCUAGAGUGUGGAAGAGGUAAGUGGAAUUCCGAGUGUAGAGGUGAAAUUCGUAGAUAUUCGGAGGAACACCAGUGGCGAAGGCGGCUUACUGGUCCAUUACUGACGCUGAGGUGCGAAAGCGUGGGGAGC